rnacentral:rRNA from 1 species
CGAACGCUGGCGGCGUGCUUAACACAUGCAAGUCGAACGGAAAGGCCCUGCUUGCAGGGUACUCGAGUGGCGAACGGGUGAGUAACACGUGGGUGAUCUGCCCUGCACUUCGGGAUAAGCUUGGGAAACUGGGUCUAAUACCGGAUAGGAGCCAUCUUUAGUGCGGUGGUUGGAAAGUUUUUUCGGUGUAGGAUGAGCUCGCGGCCUAUCAGCUUGUUGGUGGGGUAAUGGCCUACCAAGGCGGCGACGGGUAGCCGGCCUGAGAGGGUGUACGGCCACAUUGGGACUGAGAUACGGCCCAGACUCCUACGGGAGGCAGCAGUGGGGAAUAUUGCACAAUGGGCGCAAGCCUGAUGCAGCGACGCCGCGUGGGGGAUGAAGGCCUUCGGGUUGUAAACUCCUUUCGCUAGGGACGAAGCUUUUUUGUGACGGUACCUAGAGAAGAAGCACCGGCUAACUACGUG